CACGUAGGGGCCAAGCGUUGUCCGGAUUCAUUGGGCGUAAAGAGCUCGUAGGCGGUUCAGUCAGUCGGGUGUGAAAUCUCCGGGCUCAACCCGGAGGGGCCACCCGAUACUGCUGUGACUAGAGUCCGGUAGGGGAGUGGGGAAUUCCUGGUGUAGCGGUGAAAUGCGCAGAUAUCAGGAGGAACACCGGUGGCGAAGGCGCCACUCUGGGCCGGUACUGACGCUGAGGAGCGAAAGCGUGGGUAGCAAACAGG
rnacentral:rRNA from 1 species